rnacentral:rRNA from 1 species
GAUGAACGCUGGCUACAGGCUUAACACAUGCAAGUCGAGGGGAGACGACGGGGAAGCUUGCUUCCCCGGGCGUCGACCGGCGCACGGGUGAGUAACGCGUAUCCAACCUGCCUCUGACUGAGGGAUAACCCGUCGAAAGUCGGCCUAAUACCUCAUGGCAUCGUCUGCGGGCAUCCAACGACGAUUAAAGAUUUCAUCGGUCAGAGAUGGGGAUGCGUCUGAUUAGCUUGUUGGCGGGGUAACGGCCCACCAAGGCGACGAUCAGUAGGGGUUCUGAGAGGAAGGUCCCCCACAUUGGAACUGAGACACGGUCCAAACUCCUACGGGAGGCAGCAGUGAGGAAUAUUGGUCAAUGGGCGAGAGCCUGAACCAGCCAAGUAGCGUGCAGGAUGACGGCCCUAUGGGUUGUAAACUGCUUUUAUGCGGGGAUAAAGUGGGGGACGUGUCCUUCAUUGCAGGUACCGAAUGAAUAAGGACCGGCUAAUUCCGUG